UUUACACAUGCAAGUCGAACGGUAGGGGGGGCAACCCCUCGAGAGUGGCGAACGGGUGAGUAAUAUAUCGGAACGUGCCCAGUCGUGGGGGAUAACGUAGCGAAAGUUACGCUAAUACCGCAUACGAUCUACGGAUGAAAGCGGGGGACCGUAAGGCCUCGCGCGAUUGGAGCGGCCGAUAUCAGAUUAGGUAGUUGGUGGGGUAAAGGCUCACCAAGCCAACGAUCUGUAGCUGGUCUGAGAGGACGACCAGCCACACUGGAACUGAGACACGGUCCAGACUCCUACGGGAGGCAGCAGUGGGGAAUUUUGGACAAUGGACGCAAGUCUGAUCCAGCCAUUCCGCGUGCAGGAUGAAGGCCCUCGGGUUGUAAACUGCUUUUGUACGGAACGAAAAGGUCUCUCUUAAUACGAGGGGCUCAUGACGGUACCGUAAGAAUAAGCACCGGCUAACUACGUGCCAGCAGCCGCGGUAAUACGUAGGGUGCAAGCGUUAAUCGGAAUUACUGGGCGUAAAGCGUGCGCAGGCGGUUAUGUAAGACAGAGGUGAAAUCCCCGGGCUCAACCUGGGAACUGCCUUUGUGACUGCAUAGCUAGAGUACGGUAGAGGGGGAUGGAAUUCCGCGUGUAGCAGUGAAAUGCGUAGAUAUGCGGAGGAACACCGAUGGCGAAGGCAAUCCCCUGGACCUGUACUGACGCUCAUGCACGAAAGCGUGGGGAGCAAACAGGAUUAGAUACCCUGGUAGUCCACGCCCUAAACGAUGUCAACUGGUUGU
rnacentral:rRNA from 1 species